AUUUUUUCCAUGAAAAGCUGUCUAUAAACUAACCAAAUUUGCGAAACAUUGAAUGAGGGCAUUAUCUGGGUCUUGGUGCUCUUGUUAAAGAGGAAAUCUCAUUCUAAUGUUACUUAUUUUAAAGGAAUUUUGUCAGUAACUUACCAGCAGAGAUUUAAAGCUAGUAGAUCUUCCUAAUAUUAUUCAAAGUCUUCUUUUAAAAUAUGCAUGCCACCACACCCAGCUAAUUUUUAUAGUUUUAGUAGAGACUGGUCUCAAACUCCUGAGCUCAAACAAUCCUCUUGCUUCAGUCUCCCAAAGUGCUGGGAUUACAGGUAUGAGCCACUAUGCCUG
rnacentral:lncRNA from 1 species